rnacentral:rRNA from 1 species
GUCCACACAGUAAACGAUGAAUACUCGCUGUUUGCGAUAUACAGUAAGCGGCCAAGCGAAAGCAUUAAGUAUUCCACCUGGGGAGUACGCCGGCAACGGUGAAACUCAAAGGAAUUGACGGGGGCCCGCACAAGCGGAGGAACAUGUGGUUUAAUUCGAUGAUACGCGAGGAACCUUACCCGGGCUUAAAUUGCAAAAUGAAUAUGUAGGAAACUAUAUAGCCGCAAGGCAUUUGUGAAGGUGCUGCAUGGUUGUCGU